GAUGAACGCUGGCGGCGUGCCUAAUACAUGCAAGUCGAGCGAACAGACGAGGAGCUUGCUCCUCUGACGUUAGCGGCGGACGGGUGAGUAACACGUGGAUAACCUACCUAUAAGACUGGGAUAACUUCGGGAAACCGGAGCUAAUACCGGAUAAUAUAUUGAACCGCAUGGUUCAAUAGUGAAAGACGGUUUUGCUGUCUCUUAUAGAUGGAUCCGCGCCGCAUUAGCUAGUUGGUAAGGUAACGGCUUACCAAGGCAACGAUGCGUAGCCGAUCUGAGAGGGUGAUCAGCCACACUGGAACUGAGACACGGUCCAGACUCCUACGGGAGGCAGCAGUAGGGAAUCUUCCGCAAUGGGCGAAAGCCUGACGGAGCAACGCCGCGUGAGUGAUGAAGGUCUUCGGAUCGUAAAACUCUGUUAUUAGGGAAGAAAAAAUGUGUAAGUAACUAUGCACGUCUUGACGGUACCUAAUCAGAAAGCCACGGCUAACUACGUG
rnacentral:rRNA from 1 species